rnacentral:rRNA from 1 species
UGGGGAAUCUUGCGCAAUGGGCGAAAGUCUGACGCAGCAACGCCGCGUGCGGGAAGACGGCCUUAGGGUUGUAAACCGCUUUCAGGGGGGACGAAGCUUCCGAGGUUAAUAGCCUACGGGGUGACGGUACCCCCAGAAGAAGCACCGGCUAACUACGUGCCAGCAGCCGCGGUAAUACGUAGGGGGCGAGCGUUGUCCGGAAUCAUUGGGCGUAAAGCGCGUGUAGGCGGCUUGGCAAGUCUGGUGUGAAAUCUUGGGGCUCAACCGCAAGCGUGGACUGGAAACUGCCUCGCUAGAGUCCGGGAGAGGAGAGCGGAACUCCCAGUGUAGCGGUGAAAUGCGCAGAUAUUGGGAAGAACACCGAUGGCGAAGGCAGCUCUCUGGAACGGUACUGACGCUGAGACGCGAAAGCGUGGGGAGCGAACAGGAUUAGAUACCCCCGUAGUCC